rnacentral:tRNA from 1 species
UUAGCUCAGCUGGAUAGAGCAACGCCCUUCUAAGGCGUGGGCCAGGGGUUCGAAUCCCUUA